UACAGCGGCGUACGGGUGAGUAACACGUGGGUAAUCUACCUCUUAGUGGGGAAUAACCCUGGGAAACCGGGGCUAAUACCGCAUAAGCCUGCAAAGGGAAAGCAGCAAUGCGCUGAGAGAGGAGCCCGCGGCCGAUUAGCUAGUUGGUGAGGUAACGGCUCACCAAGGCGGUGAUCGGUAGCCGGCCUGAGAGGGCACACGGCCACACUGGCACUGAAACACGGGCCAG
rnacentral:rRNA from 1 species